rnacentral:rRNA from 1 species
AUUGAACGCUGGCGGCAUGCCUUACACAUGCAAGUCGAACGGCAGCACGGGAGCAAUCCUGGUGGCGAGUGGCGAACGGGUGAGUAAAGUAUCGGAACGUGCCCAGUCGUGGGGGAUAACGUAGCGAAAGUUACGCUAAUACCGCAUACGAUCUAUGGAUGAAAGCGGGGGAUCGCAAUACCUCGCGCGAUUGGAGCGGCCGAUAUCAGAUUAGGUAGUUGGUGGGUUAAAGGCUCAACAAGCCGACGAUCUGUAGCUGGUCUGAGAGGACGACCAGCCACACUGGGACUGAGACACGGCCCAGACUCCUACGGGAGGCAGCAGUGGGGAAUUUUGGACAAUGGGCGAAAGCCUGAUCCAGCCAUGCCGCGUGCAGGAUGAAGGCCUUCGGGUUGUAAACUGCUUUUGUACGGAACGAAAAGGUUUGGCCUAAUAAGCUGAGCUCAUGACGGUACCGUAAGAAUAAGCACCGGCUAACUACGUGCCAGCAGCCGCGGUAA